rnacentral:rRNA from 1 species
GUGGGGAAUCUUGCGCAAUGGGCGAAAGCCUGACGCAGCCAUGCCGCGUGAAUGAUGAAGGUCUUAGGAUUGUAAAAUUCUUUCACCGGGGACGAUAAUGACGGUACCCGGAGAAGAAGCUCCGGCUAACUUCGUGCCAGCAGCCGCGGUAAUACGAAGGGGGCUAGCGUUGCUCGGAAUUACUGGGCGUAAAGGGCGCGUAGGCGGACAGCUUAGUCAGAGGUGAAAGCCCAGGGCUCAACCUUGGAAUUGCCUUUGAUAAUGGCUGUCUUGAGUGUGGGAGAGGUGAGUGGAACUCCGAGUGUAGAGGUGAAAUUCGUAGAUAUUCGGAAGAACACCAGUGGCGAAGGCGACUCACUGGCCCAAUACUGACGCUGAGGCGCGAAAGCGUGGGGAGCAAACAGGAUUAGAAACCCUUGUAGUCC